rnacentral:rRNA from 1 species
GCACAAGCGGUGGAUGAUGUGGAUUAAUUCGAUGCAACGCGAAAACCUUACCUACCUUGACAUGUCCGGAAUCCCGAAGAGAUUUGGGAGUGCUCGCAAGAGAACCGGAACACAGGUGCUGCAUGGCUGUCGUCAGCUCGUGUCGUGAGAUGUUGGGUUAAGUCCCGCAACGAGCGCAACCCUUGUCAUUAGUUGCCAUCAUUUGGUUGGGCACUCUAAUGAGACUGCCGGUGACAAACCGGAGGAAGUGGGGAUGACGUCAAGUCCUCAUGGCCCUUAUGGUAGGGCUUCACACGUCAUACAAUGGUCGGUACAGAGGGUUGCCAAGCCGCGAGGCGGAGCCAAUCCCACAAAGCCGAUCGUAGUCCGGAUUGUUCUCUGCAACUCGAGAGCAUGAAGUCGGAAUCGCUAGUAAUCGCAGGUCAGCAUACUGCGGUGAAUACGUUCCCGGGUCUU